GAUGAACGCUGGCGGUGUGCUUAACACAUGCAAGUCGAACGGUAAGGCCCUUUCGGGGGUACACGAGUGGUGAACGGGUGAGUAACACGUGAGUAACCUGCCCUCAUCUCUGGGAUAACAGUCGGAAACGGUUGCUAAUACUGGAUAUGAGCUUGCAAGGCAUCUUGUGGGUUGGAAAGAUUUUUUUUGGUUGGGGAUGGACUCGCGGCGUAUCAGCUUGUUGGUGAGGUAGUGGCUCACCAAGGCUUCGACGGGUAGCCGGCCUGCGAGGGCGACCGGCCACAUUGGGACUGUGAUACGGCCCAAACUCCUACGGGAGGCAGCAGUGGGGAAUAUUGCACAAUGGACGGAAGUCUGAUGCAGCAACGCCGCGUGCGGGAUGACGGCCUUCGGGUUGUAAACCGCUUUCAAUUGUGAAGAAGCUUUUUUGUGACGGUAGCAGUAGAAGAAGCACCGGCUAACUACGUG
rnacentral:rRNA from 1 species